GGGGAAUACCCACAUACUAUAACUGAGAGAGUUUAAUACAAAAGAUAUUAACUCAUACUAGGCUGAAACUAACUAUGUCUGAAAUUAAGCCUCUAAACUGACCAGAAAUGUUGGGACAUGCCCCAACUAGAUCUAGUAAAACUGAAACUAAAGACUGAAAGCAGUAAGGAUAUCAUGUCUCUGGUCCUUGGAGGAUGAGGACUCACCACUACUAAUCUGCUGAGCUGAAGAUCGGAAAACGAUCUAAGUGCAAUCUGGAUGCUGAGAGCUUGAACCUACAUCACAAGAAGAUGUAACGCAAUAUAUGUGUCAGUACUAAAAGGUACCGAGCAUGAGGAUGGGGUAUCACUGAAAUACAUAUAUAACUGAACAAGCAAAAAGACAAUGGCAUAUAUCUGGAUAUGAUAGAAUGCUGAAAGAUACUAAACAUGACUGAUCUGUAUGCAAUGACCAACUAUGACAUGCUGAAACUGAAUAUUGAACAUGGUCAAUGUAAAUGGAGUCUGACUGAUUUGUGGGAGCUAUUAAUCACCGAUAAUAAAACCACAUGAGCUGAAUGUGGAGUCCGAUGUAUACACCCCAUCAAGAGGACCCAAUAUACCCUGCCAGGGGUAUAAAGUCAUGUUGGCGUGAUCACUAAUCUGUUGCCCAUGGAAGGGACUUAAUUACAACCUACUUGGCUAGUAGUUCUGGGACUAUUUGGGUACGCUAAACCCUAGUCCAACUCGGUAUUAUGCUAGUCCCAAUGAAUUUAGUAGUAAACUGAUUAUGACUGAUUUUCUGUAAUUGUUCUGGAUAGCUCAAAACUAGACAUGCAAAACUGAACGCAACAAUUUAAACUGACAUUGAUGCAUAAUACUGAGGCAUGUAUAACCGAUUUCUGAUAAAGUCUGACCUAACACAUGUAAUUCAAGAACUAAAGAAAUACAUAGCUAGGGUUCAGAAAUUCAUACGAUAAUCUGAAAAAGACGUGGCAUGUUGAUUUGGAACAUUAAAACAUAGCUAAAACGUGACAUGCUGUUUGGACGUUAGAACAUAUAGUUAAAAACGUGAUUUCUAAAUCAGAACGUUUUUAAAACAGUCUCUUCAUGAAAAUUGGCUGCUAAAUCGGAACGUUUUUAAAACAAUCUCUUCAUGAAAAUCGGCUGUAACUUUAGAAAAUACUAGGGUUCAUUCAUAAUCAUUGAAAAAUGAUCAAUAUUUGGAUCAUUCUAACAUUUAAAACCCAAAAUCAAGAAACGUUCAAGAACCCUAAUUUCGUUCAUAGCAUGAAAUCAAGAAUCGUUUGAAUUCUAGGGAUCUAACGGGCAAAAGGGACCCAUUAGCGAAAUCCAACAUACCUAGUGACGAAAUCUCCACGAAAAACUAUCAACUAGGGCAGGACUUGACUUUUCCGGCGAUUUUCUAGCAUUUUCCAGUGGCGGCUAGGGUUUAGCUAGGGUUUUGGCCGCCCCUCUCUCUUCUCUCUUCUUUUCUUUUGUUUUAGUUAAUUAAAUGACUUAGGUAAGUUCUAGUUAGGUUUCUAGGAUUUUAAAUUACUAACUAAAGUUGAUUUAAAAGCUGUCCAAAUCCUGAUGCAGAUUAGGCACCUGCCAAAUCUGAAAAUUCUGCAAAUUUUCCUUCACGAAUCUGGGGUGUUACACGAAUAAUUCAAAUCAAAUGUAAAGUUGAUUUCAAUGAUACAAGUUGACUGACUUUUCUCAAUCAAUUCCCUUACCCCCUCAGUUUACGCAAUUGACCUGUCUUCUUGUUGUUUUGUCUUUUAUAAAGUUGGCCAAUGUAAUAUUCCUCAAUGAGAGGACAUUUCAAUAAUGUGUAAUACAUCACAUAAAAGUGUGUGGAAAUAACAGCCAAAUAUAUAUAUACUAGUAAAAUUUAUAAAAUAAUAUUUAAAACCUAUCAAUUAUUAAAACUAAAACACUAUAUUAUCUUACAUACAAGAUUACAUAGUAACGAACAUUAAUAAUGUAAAGGAAAAUGAUAACAUCUUAUCAUUUAUCCUUCAAUCAAUCAUCUUUAAUUUGAUUUUAUAAUUUAUUAUUUUGCUUCCAGGAAGUGUUUCUAUUUGAUAUUUUUGGGGGAUCAAAUGAACAUCAACCUAAGAUAUUAAAUUUGCUAAUAAAUAAAUAAUCGUUGGUGAAGGGAUAAAUAAAUUUUAAAAGAUUGAAAAAGUGAACAAAUAUUCUAAUUCUAACGUGUAGAAAGUUCAACCCUACCUUUUUCUUUACAUAUAUUAUUUUAAAGUUCCCCAUUUAAAUGUAUCAUAAGUAAUUAUUAAAAAGGAAAAUUAAAGAGAGAAUGUAUCAUAUUGGACAACAAUUUAACUUAUUAUAUAUACUUGAAAGAGAAUAAUAUUACACAAAACUAUUCAGUUUGUUUGGGUAUUUUUAAAAAAAUCAACAUACCAGAGUGAUGGAGUUCAAUUUGAAACUAUACUUUUAUUCCAAUCGCAAUAUCGAGAAACACAUUUAUUACUCCAAGAAAUGUUUUUACAAUUUGUAGUAAACUUGAUAAUAUGUCCAUACUUCAUAUGAAUAUGAGCAAUUAACUUAUUGUGUAGUUAUCUAUGUCUUUGGGAUUGAAAGAGGCUUCAGUCUAGUCAUAUUCCUCUAUAAGUCAUCCGACACAUCCUUGAACCCAUGUUAAAAGUUUAUUAAUUAUUGUCUUCUUUUCAUGGUACAUUUCGCACAUCAAGGUGCGAUAAAGUUUUUAAGGUCUUUAUGUCCUUACAAUGACAUCUUAAUUUUGAAUUUUGUCUUCAAGAGAUGGUAGUGUCUAUUUUAAGGAAUUUUUUUAUUGUACCUUCAACAAUUUUAGUAGAGAAAAUUUGUGUGAAUACUCAUUUAACGUGCAUUAUUUAAUCUAUACUAAAACAACAAAGUUUAAAACAUGUACUCAAAAACAACAAUUAAUAUCAUAAGCAUAAUUUUAUGACUGUAAAAAAAUACUAGGAUCUGUAACAAUAUAGAAUGAAAUAGAAAGGAAAUAAUCGAUCCCACUGAAUGCACAGUGUCGCCUUAAGGAAAUUAUUCUCUUCUAGUACACGAGGUUUAAAUGAAUAGAUCCCCUCAGGAUGGAACAAUUCUAUUCACCAGUGUAUUGAUACAAAUACAAUGGUGUCAGUGAGUCACUCAACUAGAGCAAAGUACACAAAUAUCAGAAGGAGAAGAAGAAAAAUAGAAUUUUCGUUGUUUUAAAAUGAGAGAAAGUCCCUCUAUUUAUAGAUAAAAAAAGGGUGGUGUGAACAAAUGCUUAUUGUGCCUUAUCGUAAAAGGUCACAACUCUUUCAAAAAGUUACAACCCUUCAAAAAAGUCACAAACUUUAAUAAAAGUCACAACUUUUCAUGAAAGUCGCAACUCUUCAUAAAAGUCACAACUCUUCAUAAAAUUCAUAACUUUUCAUAAAAGUCACAACUUUUCAUGAAAGAGGAAGGCUAGUUUUGAAAAUAAAUUAAUUUAAAGAGAACCAUGAUUUGUGGUGGUGCCACGUAGGCGGGUCCAGGGUACUUUAUAUAUAUAUAAGAUUUGACUUUAAAUAUUUCAUUUUAAUUAAAAUGAUAAAUAUUUUAUAGUCAUAUAUAUAUGUAUGACAUGUUUGAGAUUAAAAAGUUCAAAAGUUUGAUUCAUUGUUGAUGUUAUGUCAUGAUUGUGUUGUUGUGAAUUGUACAUUGAUAUGAAAAUUAUCAUCUCCACAUUAAUUAUGUGAACAUGCCAUUUGCAUUGUUUUGAGACAUGGUUGUGAAACGUGUUAUGUGAUUUAGGAAGAAUAAGGAAUUAAAGAGGAUGUACCAUUUUGAGGGACGUGUCACGCGCCACGACGGAUAUUUCUAUUCGAGGGACGUAUCAUACGCCACGAUGGAUUCUAUAUAUUAUCGAGGGUCGUGUCACACACCGUAAUAAAUGCAUGUACAUAUAUGUCCCUAGUGGGUUCGGUACUGAGAGACAACGCGUGUGUAUCUCUAGGUCAUACAUGCAUUACUAUACUUGACAUUUUAUUAUAUUGCAUUGCAUAUCUUUAUCAUUUGUAAACUUGUGAGUGCCUUUCUGUGGAACUUGUGAUUGAUGAACUUGGUCUCGUGUGUUGUUGAUUUGUAAUUGUUGGAGUGUUGUUAUUGUGCUAUGUGCUACGUAAAUUGUGAAUUGUUAGGUUGGACUGGUUGUAUGUAGGUUGUAGUUGUGGAGGUUUGAUUGGAGUGGUAUAAGUAUUCAUAUUCUAUAUUACUCGAUUUUGUGUUUAGGAGUUUUCUUGAUGAGUACCGUAUUGUUUGGUACUCACCCUUUACUUCUAUAUUUGUGUAGGUUACAAGCUCGGAUCUUCAUAAUACUCUGUAUUCUUUUUGUCUGGGGGCUUCCUGUGGAGAUUUGUGAGGUAAAUGUUUUUCAUCUCAACAAACCCUCUUGAUCCUUAUUUAUGAUCUUGUUCUAUUCUAGAAACAAUUUCAUUUGAGACUUGUAUUUUUCUUUCGAAUCAAUUGUAAUACUUUAGAGGCUUAUACAUGUGACAAUCAAGUUUUGAGGUUUUAUUUGAGUUGAUUAUGAUUUCUGCAUUAUUAGAUCAUUUUAGUUCCUUUUUAUUGUUUCACUUCCACAUUUAUUGUAUUGGUUGUGUUUUAGGCUAACUUGUGUUGAUGGGAUAAGACGAGUGUCAUCAUGUCAAUUUUUAAAUCAUGAUAGGUUGGUGGAAUUUAAGUUUAUCUUAUUGUUUAAUCAUUCAACACUUAUAUUGGAUAUUGCAAUAGAUAUAUAUAGAGAGGUAUAAACCAAAAGCUUUUUUCUUCUGUUUUGUGGAAAUCAAACUUUCUCAUUUUGCUCAUAACCUAAUUACUUCCUCUAUUUCAUAUUAAUUGAUUUUUUUGAGGGAUUUUUUUUAUUGUUCAACAUAAUUGAAUUGUUCAAAAUUCAAGAUGGAUAUUUAAUUUUUUUCCAUAUUUGUCCUUUCAUUUAGUGAACUUUGAUAUUUUAUAGGAGAUAAAUUGAACUACUUGCAAAGUUGUUUAUGAUUUCACAAAGAGCAAUAGUAGAAAUAAAUGUUUAAAUUAUGUCCUUGAAUGUUUUCUUUAAAUAAAUGUGCAGUGUCUCACAAAUUCAAUUAAUUUGGAAUAGAGGGAGUACCCUUUUUCCAUGUAAGUGAUCCACUACCCUUUUUCUCCUCCUUUCUCUUCUCUCAAAGCCCUAGUGUAAUUUUGUAAUGCGUAAACUGAACCAAAUUAGACCCCAAUUAAAUUACUGAAAGUGAAUUAAACUAAUUGAGUAGGGAAAAGACCAAAAUACCCCUCUUAAAUUCGAGUGACUUUCCUUAUUUAGACAACCCGACUUCAAACGGGCAUAUCUCCCUCAUACGAGUUCAAAAAUUAACAAACUCGGUGGCGUUGGAAUGAUAAUUCAAAGACCUUUCAUUUGUUAUCUUAUGGCACACCUAACUCAUCCUGUACCGAAAGUUAUGGUUGUUUAAGUUGACCCAAAACUUAGAAAAACCUAGGAAUGACUUGAAUGAAUUCUUUUUAAUUCUUUUUGGUACUCAAGGUGCUAUAUCUAGUGACCUGACCUUAAUACUUAAGAAAUUUCAAAUUCCUUGGUAAAAUCCUACUCACCACGAAGGAUGGUUCAAGUCUUAGUUCAUAAAAAUUUUGGGGUGUUACAUUAUCUCCCCCUUGGAAUUAUUCGUCCUCAAAUGACGGCUGGACUGAGUAUGGAACGGGGUUACUCUUAUCAUCUCUGCCAUACCAACUAGAAUUUGCCUGCAUUAUUAUUCGAAACCAACUAAGGGCUCUCAUUUAGCUAUUUCUCAUAGUAAAACCUCAUUCUCUUCUUCCUCCUCAUUUAUAACCUUAGACAGAAUUAUCACACCGUCAUUAUCACGAUAUGAUCAUUAACCUUCUCUUCCUAACAUCACUCCACUACUAAAAGGACCUCUAAAAAGAUAUCUCCCAUACUCUUUUCAACUCAUUACUAUCUUAUUCUUAACACUUGACUUGAUUUUCAAUCUUAUCAUCUCCCCCUUAGGUCUAAAGCUGACACUUGAAGGCUAUAGACCUAUUCCAACAUCUCUAAUUGGUCUACAUCCUCUUUUACUCUAACUCUUCGGAGAAGCUUAUAUCACGACUACCAAACUCUCCAUAAGUAGGUACUAAGACUUCUUUCUAAGGUGUUUUUGUUAACCUCUUCUGAUUACAUACCCUUUCAGUACACCUCGUAAUGCUUUUUUACUCUUGUGACUUAAGCCACAUUUCACUGCCCUUAUCAAGAGGAUUAGGUCAUUUCACUUGUACCACUCAUAUUCAUUGCAACUAAUCACCUCAAUUCCUCACCUACUCUAUGUCAGGUCUUCUAGUUCAAUUCUCAAGACAACAUCAUCACCCUCACGUUGCCAUCCUUUUGAUCAAGACACUCAUCUCAAAUUUACUAAACCCGAAUAUCAAUAUGAUUGCUCUCUUACUAUACUAACUUACAACUACUGGAUGCAAAACACUCGUCCACUAGGACCUUAUGACAAGUAGUCAAUCCUUACCUCUUAGUCUCCAUACUCACAAUUUACCAUCAUAUUCGACUUCUCAACUUAAGUACUACUUACUCACUUACUGCGCAUUAUCUCUAAAAUAGUUCUAUCAUCCUCUGAAUACCAUGCGGUUUCCCCCUUCAAAAUUCGUAAGCCUAGCUUGGGCCUACCACCCCAUGAAUAAUUUUCUCGAUUAUUCAACAUAUGAAUUUAGUCUUCUCUAACACGAUGGCAAAUUGACAUCAACUCUAUUCUGGUAAAAAAAAUUAUACUCUAUCUCAUCAUGACUAGUAACUAUUCCUCUUCCUUCUAUCUAGAACUCUUUAUAACAUUAUUAUUCCUUAUGUUUACUCAUAAGGGAAAUUCAUCACUUAUAAUUGACUGAUUGCAUGAUUGCAAUCAUAUAAUCUACCGCAUCACUAUCUCAUUUUCUUAGAUUAUUGACCCUCUAUAUAAUUUCCUCUAAUACUGGGCACUUUCACUACUACUGCUCAUAAUCUCGUAAUUCAUACUAUUUUUUAGGGCAAAAAUACUACCCAAGCUCUAAACAUACCAGCAUCUUAAAGGUCUCAACUGAACAAGGUUUACGGAAGAGUGUACAACUCGCUUUUAGCUCAAACACACCAUUCAUAUGAACAUGAGUGCAUUCCUCUGAAACUCAACACUUAACUCACUUAUGGGCUUCUCUCAAUCCCCUCUAGAGUUUCACGACUUCCUCAAGACUCUUGCAAGAGCAACUCAUUGAUAAAGGAUUGUCUUUUCUUUUCAACCACCUCUAGUAUGACAGGUAGUCGAAUGACUCUGAGAAACGCACGAGUAUGAAUAAAUGUCUAUGACAACUCUAUUUCACGAUUAAGAGUAUGAAGAAAGUGAGAUAGUUCCUAAAUGUUGCAGCCUCCUAAUUAUAGAUGUUGCGCGCAUCACACCGAUAACCAGGACUCUACAUACACGGCUUCAUAGACACCCUAGGACUCUUGAACUCUGUGGUCUGAUACCAAGUUUGUCACGCAUUGGGCCUACACCCUAGGAGGGACUGGCACUCGAGAACCAUUGCUGGCCCCAAGCAAACCCUUGGGCUCAGUGGAAGACUUUAAGCAUUAAUAAAAGAAAACAAAUUCAACUUUACUCAACUGUCUCAAAUAACUUAGAAUGUUUUAGAAUUAAACAUCCAACUAGCCAAAGUGGCAACUCAAGUCUUAUAACAAAACAAGUGAAAUGCAAAGGCUAAAGAACUAUAACUAUUGUCUAUGUAGCCUCUAAUACUAUAAGGGAUGUUGGGACAAGACCCCCGAUCAUUCUAACAACUGAAAUACUAAAACAAUAUAAAUCAGGAAAGCAAGGAGGCUCACCAACUGACUUUGAAUGCUCAACUAGAUCAACGAAGUGUUGGCUGCUGAUUCUGGUUACCUGUAUCUGCAUUAUAAAAUGAUGUAGGCCAAUUGGCGUCAGUACAUUGAAUGUACGAGCAUGCGAGGGGAAAUCUAAACAUGACAUAUGCUUGAACUGAAUUUUGAAAAAAACACUCACCUUAGCUUUACUCAACUCAUGGAUACCCAACCCAAUGCAUAAUUAAACAACAAUAAAGAUGCAGAUGAUAAAAAGCAUUUAAACAAUAGAUAACAUCACAAAGUAUUGGAAAAUACCAUAAUAUCUCAAUUGUAUAUAAGCAUACAAAAUAAACUUUGUUUGGGAGAUUCUCUAACCGACAACCAUCAGUAUGAGCUAUAUGAUGAUACAACGUCUCACCCACGGGCCAGAACUCCCCUAUAACUUUCCGGGAUAAAGAACGCCUCAACUAAGUGGAUCCACUAGUCUAUGCUAAAACACAUUAAGGAAUUAUCAAAAAAGUAUGACCCUUUCUGCCCACGUUGGCUACAUGGUUUAUGGAGACUUGAGUUAUUAUGAACUCAUCCCUAUAUCGGUGCUCAAUACUACUCCCAAAAUAUACUCAGCUCAUAUGUUUAAAAACAUAACUCUUUCUUUAUGGUUUAAGGUUAUUACUCGAAAAGCUUAACUCUUAAAUAGAGGGAACUCAAAGCUACUCAUUAAAACUCAUUUGAAAAUCGAUGUUUCCUCUCAUCUUAAAUGUGAAAACAUUUGCUCUUUGAGAGUACUUAGUUCCCAUACAUCAUUUAAAGAAAUGAACUUGGCUCUACUCUUUCUCAAACGCAAUGCUUAAGUCUUUAAAACAAAUUUAAAACGAUUGCAAAAGACUUUUGAAAGACUAUAAGAACUCUCUUGACUUGACGCUUAGCUCUACCUUGAAUUUGAAUUAUGGAUUCAAGGGUUAUGAUCUCAUGUUAUAGAUGAUCUCUUGAUGUUUAAAUGUACCUUAAAGUGUAGAAAACAACUAGAAAACAUAGGUACGAUUCGAGAAAACUCAAACUGAAAGAAGAGGAAAAGGGUAGAAGAUCUGGUGACCCUGAUGUAUUGAGUGACGCAGGGCGCCAGAGCCCUAACCACAAAAGCUGGCUUGGGGCAUAUUGAGUGGCCAGCGCCCGAGAGGCCAAACUUCAGACACUCCACUCUGGCGCAUUGAGUGGCGCGGUGCGCCAACGCCCUGCCUAGAAAACCCACUAAUUUUUUUGUUUUUUUUCGACUCUAAAUCGUCUAGAUUCGAUUGGUUUCUUUCCCAAACACUUAGAUUCGAAUACCCAACUAAAGUAUACAAGAAUCCACUAAAAAACAACCUUAAAUCUCAUCAAAUCAUCUCAAGAACUCCACCAAAACCCAAAAAUCAAGAUUCAAACGAAAUUUCAACAAAAUUCAUCAAGAACUCGUAUACUCUUCUUUCAAGAACGUAAAUACGCUGAAUUUAAUCAUGAUUGGCGCAUGGGUGAAUGAACCCAAUGCUAUGUGAUCUCACAUAUCUCGUAGGGAUUAACCCUUGGCGAAAUCCGCACGCAAAACUCAAGAACACGACGAACCUUGACUUUUCUCCUCUUUUCUUUUCUCUCAAAGCCCUAGUGUAAUUUUGUAAUGCGUAAACUGAACCAAAUAAAUUUAUACCCCAAUUAAAUUACUAAAAAUGAAAUAAACUAAUUGGAUAGGGAAAAGACCAAAAUACCCCUCUUAAAUUCGAGUGACUUUUCUUAUCCAGACAAUCUGACUUCAAAUGGGCAUAUCUCCCUCAAUGACCUUGAAAAUUAGCAAACUCGGGUGCGUUGGAAAGAUAAUUCAAAGACCUUUCAUUUUAUAUCUUAUGGCACACCUAAAUCAUCUUGUACUGAAAGUUAUGGUUGUUUUAAGUUGACCCAAAUCUUAGAAGAACCUAGGAAUGACUUGAAUGAAUUCUCUUUAAUUCUUCUUGGAACUCAAGGUGCUAUAUCUAGUGACUUGACCUUAAUACUUAAGACAUUUCAAAUUCCUUGGUAAAAUCCUACUCACAACGAAAAUGGUUCGAGUCUUAGUUCAAAAAUUUUCUGGGGUGUUACAGCUGACACCCAAGAGAACUCUUAUCCUGGCUAACUAUAAGCAAAAAACAUUUCAAGCAUACACAAACAUCAAACUGAAAGAAAUGCUAAAUCAACAGUGUAUUAAAUCUCAAAACUCUCCAAAUAUACUGAGUACUAAACAUAAGUUUUGAAGAAAAUCUCAAAAACUGAAAGACUCUCCAAUAAUUAUCUAUCUAUGAAGCCUAUUCUGUAUAAAGAUGAGUGUCGGGACAAAACCCACAACACCUCAAAAUGCUACUACUAACCAUUCAUAAAAUUUUGAGUUAUCCGAAAGUAAGGAGGCUUCACCAAAAUCUAAUGAGCAUAUGAUGUGACUGAACGGAACUCCUAUUAAUGAUCCUAAGUAUCUAAAUCUGCAUCAUGAAAAGAUGCAAGUUGAAUUACACCAGUACAUUGAAAGUACAGUAUGUAAUAGGGCUGAAUUAAGCAAAUAACUGAACUGAAAAACCGAAGGUAACUCAAUUGAAGAAUAAUGUUAUGAAAAUCAUUUAAACUCUUUCUAUAGGGAUGCAAUAAUAGUAAUUACUAAACUGAAGGACUGGAAGUACUGAAUUGAAGUAUAGUAUAAAUCAUGAUGAAAAUCAUUUAAGCUCUAAUUGUAAACAUGCUACAAUAGUUAAUAUUGAACUGAAAUAUAUAAAUAAAAAUAUACUUUACUUUAUUGGGGAGUUUCUCUAACUGACUACCAUCACUAUGAGCCUCAUGAUGACACAACGUCUUACCCACAUUUCUAGAGUCGUCCUAUAUCUUGCCAGCGUAUAGGGCGCAACUGAAUUGUUAGAUCCACUAAAAAUCCUUCUUGAGGCAAGUGAGGAGUCACCUGUCUUGAGGUAUGAUCCUAUCUACGCUGGCGACGUAGGUUAUGGAGUUUGAGUUAUCGUAACUCUUACCCCAAAUCGGUACUCAAUACUACUCCCAAAAUAUAACUGGAUGCUCAUGUAUAAGUACUCAUUGGGUUGAGAUAAUUUCUCUAAAGGUGUCUUUAAGAGGUAACUGAAGUUGUACUGAAUCUGUCCUAAAUACUCUGAAAAAUCUUUAUACUUUUCUGAAAAUAGUACUGUCUUUUAAAAUGUGAAAAAUAAUACUUUGUUUAAGGGGUAACUGAACUUCUUUUUAUCUGACUGAAAUGCUUUUGAAAACUGUUUAUGCUCUUCUUAAAAUAAUACUCUCUUGUUUAAAAAAGAAUGACCUAGUUUGAUUUUGCACGGAGUUUAAGAAAAGAAAAAAAACUUUUUAAUCUCAUGGUUUUAAAUCAAAGUUAUGUCAAAUGUACCAAAAUGCCCUUUUAUCUUGUGGCCUUAAACAUGCCACAUGGAAAGUUGAAGUUAAAGUGUUACCCAAAAAGGAAAAGGGUCAUUCUUUUUUAAACGGACAAAAAAGGAAAUUGGAUCAUUCUUUUUUAAACGGGGGAAGUAGUUUUUUCCUCAAUGUGAAAAUAGUAAUUUUGGAACCAUUUGUGUUUCCUUAACUCUUCUCAAAUGAUACUUUAAAAUACUCUUAAACUAACUUUAAAAUUCCAAAGUCAAUGCAUGGAAACAAAUGCACAAAUGCUUUCAACAAAAUAUCAUCAACUAGAUUCAUGUGAAAUAAAAGCAUGAACGACAACCCAAUAAUCUCAUAAUUAGGAAAUCAGAACUCGGAAUAAGAAUACAAUUCGAAUUUAGAAUUUCAUGGAUCUUUGAGUAGAAUAUUGGAUUUAACUCUUACUGACUGAAUUUAGAUGUAGGCAUGAGGACAAACUAGUCCAACACUAUGAAUAGCCUUACAUACCUGAUUAUGAAGCUAUUAGACUGUAAAAUUUUGUGGAGACUUGAUUUUAUCUUGAGCUUGAGGAAGAUCGUUAGCUUUUGGAGGAAACCUUUGAUCAUGGAAUCUUGGUGCUUGCUCUUGAUAGAAGAAACUCUUUUUAUUAAGUUUUUAGAGUGGAAGAACAUGUAAAAACCUUGGGUUGAAAGAUUCUCUUAGUAUCUUUAAUUUUUGACUUGAAAGUUUUAGGGUUCUUGAUGGAGAAGAGGAAUCAUAAGUAAGUUUUAAGAGGAUUUCUAAAUACUUGAAUCUUUACAUUAAUGAUUUUGAGAUGAAA
rnacentral:lncRNA from 1 species